rnacentral:rRNA from 1 species
GAUGAACGCUGGCGGCGUGCCUAAUACAUGCAAGUCGAGCGAACAGAUGAGGAGCUUGCUCCUCUGACGUUAGCGGCGGACGGGUGAGUAACACGUGGAUAACCUACCUAUAAGACUGGGAUAACUUCGGGAAACCGGAGCUAAUACCGGAUAAUAUAUUGAACCGCAUGGUUCAAUAGUGAAAGACGGUUUUGCUGUCACUUAUAGAUGGAUCCGCGCCGGAUUAGCUAGUUGGUAAGGUAACGGCUUACCAAGGCAACGAUGCGUAGCCGACCUGAGAGGGUGAUCGGCCACACUGGAACUGAGACACGGUCCAGACUCCUACGGGAGGCAGCAGUAGGGAAUCUUCCACAAUGGGCGAAAGCCUGACGGAGCAACGCCGCGUGUGUGAUGAAGGUCUUCGGAUCGUAAAACUCUGUUAUUAGGGAAGAACAAAUGUGUAAGUAACUAUGCACGUCUUGACGGUACCUAAUCAGAAAGCCACGGCUAACUACGUG